UACGUAGGUGGCGAACGUUGUCCGGAUUUACUGGGCGUAAAGCGCGCGUAGGCGGAUCUGCAAGUCGGGGGGUGAAAUCCCGAGGCUCAACCUCGGAACUGCCUUCGAUACUGGCGAUCUUCGAGUCCGGGAGAGGUGAGUGGAACUCCGAGUGUAGAGGUGAAAUUCGUAGAUAUUCGGAAGAACACCAGUGGCGAAGGCGGCUCACUGGCCCGGUACUGACGCUGAAACUACGAAAAGCGUGGGGAGCAAACAGG
rnacentral:rRNA from 1 species